GCCCAUUUAGACUCCGCGGUGGUCACUUCGCAGAGCAGACUUCUCUCCUUCAUGCGUCUUGCUCCGCUUCCUCCGAAACCAGGUCUGACAAACCCCAUAUGGCUGAGAUCGAGAAAUUUGGUAAGUCGAAAUUGAAGACAGAAAAGCAAGAGAAAAAUCUUCUGCUUUCAAAAGAAACGAUUGGACAGGAGAAGCAAGCAGGCGAAUGGUAAUGAGGCGUGCACCACCAGUAUGCACUGUACAUUCCACAGGCAUUGCCUUCUUAUUUUACUUCUUUUAGCUGUUUAACUUUGUAAGAUGCAAAGAGGUUGGGUCAAGUUUAAGCGACUGUGCUGCCCCUUUUCACAUCAAAAAAUCGAGAAAUACUGACAACGAAGGCCAGGCCUGCUUUUCCCAUCUGCCUGUCUGGCUGGCAGAGAAAAAAGAACUUGCAUGUUGGUGAAGGAAGAUAUUGGGUGGGAGGAUGGGGAAAUCUAGAGUAGAAUCCAAGCUGUUUCAAGGUGUCCUGCAGGCUGUAAAAUGCAGUUUAAUCAGAGUGCCAUUUUUUUUUGUUCAAAUGAUUUUAAUUAUUGGAAUGCACAAUUUUUUAAUAUGCAAAUAAAAAGUUUUAAAACCUGAAAAAAGAAAGAUCAUUUAGUAAAAGCUACCACUCGU
rnacentral:lncRNA from 1 species